UAACAAAAAAAACUACUCAAUUCAAGAAGUCUUCCUCCAUAACAAAGCUUCUCUUUUCUAGCUUCCUCUUUUAAGUUGAAUUUUCCGAUCUUAGUUAACGAUCUUGGGCUAGCAGAAGGUCUCCCCAGUUACACCUUUCUUCUGUUAUUCUCCACAUGGCGUUACAAUGUAGAAUUUUCCAAGUAAAGAUAUAUUAGUGAAAAAAGAACAUAUAAACGACAACUUAGAAUGGAUAUUGAUCAAGUUAAGGAGCAAUUCAAGAACGUUGAAGGAGAGAGAAGACCAUGCUGCUUUGGAUUCAAAUAAGAUGUUGUCUUAAAAUAAUUGUAUAUUGUGACAAUUCUCAAAAUUGUAACAGUUGUAUAUAACUUGACAACUAUUUGGGAUUUGUAGCUACAUUAUGUAACAUUCCGAUAAACAAGGCAAGUAAAAACUUCUUUAAUUUGUAAAAAUGAAAUUGUUGAAAAUUAUUUUGGAUUUUAAUAGUUUUUAUUUUAGUUACAU